rnacentral:rRNA from 1 species
UACGGAGGGUGCAAGCGUUGCUCGGAAUUAUUGGGCGUAAAGGGUAGGUAGGUGGUCUCGUUUGUCUGGGGUGAAAGCCUUGAGCUUAACUCAAGAAGUGCCCCAGAAACGGCGAGACUAGAGUACUGGAGAGGGUCGUGGAAUUCCCGGUGUAGCGGUGAAAUGCGUAGAGAUCGGGAGGAACACCAGCGGCGAAGGCGGCGACCUGGACAGUUACUGACACUCAACUACGAAAGCGUGGGGAGCAAACAGG